AUUGAACGCUGGCGGCGUGCCUAAUACAUGCAAGUCGAACGCAGUGGGGACGGGUGAGUAACACGUGGGUAACCUCCCCAUCAGAGGGGAUAACACUUGGAAACAGGUGCUAAACCGAUAUUGAUGGAUGGACCCGCGGUGCAUUGGCUAGUUGGGGAGGUAACGGUCACCCAAGGCGACGAUGCAUAGCCGACCUGAGAGGGUGAUCGGCCACCUGGGGACUGGGACACGGCCCAGACUCCUACGGGAGGCAGCAGUAGGGAAUCUUCGGCAAUGGACGAAAGUCUGACCGAGCAACGCCGCGUGAGGGAAGAAGGUUUUCGGAUCGUAAAGCUCUGUUGUUAGAGAAGCGGUAUCUAACCAGAAAGCCACGGCUAACUACGUGCCAGCAGCCGCGGUAAUUC
rnacentral:rRNA from 1 species